UUGCUUUUGCAGCCCAUGUACCAACAUAGGAAUGACACGGAGAUGAUGAGCAUGGCCCCCAAGCGAGGAUGACAUGAACAUGCGUGAAGCAUUCAUACUUUAA
rnacentral:snRNA from 1 species